rnacentral:tRNA from 1 species
GGGCGAGUGGUGAAAUUGGUAGACACGCCAGCCUUAGGAGCUGGUGAGGCAACUCAUGGAGGUUCGAGUCCUCUCUCGCCCA